ensembl:snRNA U4 U4 spliceosomal RNA
AACUGCACAGCGGCAGUAUCAUAGCCAAUGAGGUUUAUCUGAGGCACAGUUAUUGCUAAUUGAAAACUUUUCCCAAUACCCCACCAUGACAACUUGCAAUACAGUAGGCAUUGGCAAUUUUUGACAGUCUCUAUUGAGA